rnacentral:rRNA from 1 species
UGGGGAAUAUUGGACAAUGGGCGAAAGCCUGAUCCAGCCAUGCCGCGUGUGUGAAGAAGGUCUUCGGAUUGUAAAGCACUUUAAGGUGGGAGGAAGGGCAGUAAGCGAAUACCUUGCUGUUUUGACGUUACCGACAGAAUAAGCACCGGCUAACUCUGUGCCAGCAGCCGCGGUAAUACAGAGGGUGCAAGCGUUAAUCGGAAUUACUGGGCGUAAAGCGCGCGUAGGUGGUUCGUUAAGUUGUAUGUGAAAGCCCCGGGCUCAACCUGGGAACUGCAUCCAAAACUGGCGAGCUAGAGUAGGGCAGAGGGUGGUGGAAUUUCCUGUGUAGCGGUGAAAUGCGUAGAUAUAGGAAGGAACACCAGUGGCGAAGGCGACCACCUGGGCUCAUACUGACACUGAGGUGCGAAAGCGUGGGGAGCAAACAGG